CCAGAAUGUAACGGAGGACUCAACAGUGCUGCUAGAGACGACGCCCAAACGACAUGUCUCCAAUGGAACAGAGGGUGUCAUGAAAAAACAACAGGCAAACACAGUGGGUGUUAAUAACAUAUCAACACCUCAACGUCAUGUCUCCGAGGGAGCAGAAAGUGCUGCCACAAGUCUUCGCCGCCACAGAAAAUUUGAAACGACAUUCCCAGCACUUUCGGAGGGAACUCAGUGGCGGAAAGAAGUAUUUGCGAGGCAGCAUGAAUUAUUAGAACUGCAAAUGGAGACAGAGGCCAUGCGGCAGGAGUUGCUGAGUGCACAACUGGCAGAAACUCAAACAAAAAUGGCAGAAGCUCAAACUAGAGCAAGAAUUGCUCUGCUAGAGGAAGAGGUCCUCAAAAAUAAGUUAGCAAA